AGAACUGAAAGCAGUCUUUUUAAAGAUAUAUCUGAAAAUGGUCAUAUGCUUAAAAAAAUUAAGUCAGCCCGUUUUGUUUCCUCCCUAAAAAUUUAGUUCCUUUGAUUCCUUAAAAAGAGUUUACUUUAAUAUAUUCCAUUUAAUGAGAAAGACUAAAACCACUUUUUAGUUCUGGUAGUUCCAGAAAAGUUCUCCAUAGAAAUCUCUGGGCGUAAGGGCCGCUGCACGUGCCGGUAGUGGCUAACUUUGCCACUCUCAACGACCAAACUUGGAGGAUGCACGCCUGUCACCUCGGACAUAUGGCACGUACGGCUCACGCCAGGGCAGAACGUUAACCAGUUCAGCGACAGAAACAGACUUUCAUUGGGAUGGUGAGGUGCUCGUCCCUGUAGUCCUCGCUCCCGGCGCCAGGGAGCCCCACAGCUAGAUCCCAGUCAGAUCAAGGACUUUUACUUAUCCUGACUCUGGCUGAUUCUGAGGCCUUCAGGGGACUAACCUGGACUUCACAGUUAUCUUGCUGCACAAGAAAAAUCAGAUCUAGAAAGAAAGAAAAAAUCCAAGAAGGAAAACAAAAAUGCAAGCAAACAAUAACAGAAAGAGUGGAAAUGCUAUGUUGUCACACCCAAAUUUCAAAGCUCCCAAGUUAAGGAGAAAAUAUUGGAAGCAACAAGAAAAAAACUUAAAUAUCAUGGAGCUACAAUGAGGAUUACAUAAAAUCUAGCAGUUACAUUGAAGGACCAUAGGUCUUGGAAUACUAUAUUUCACAGAUCAAAAGAACUGGGGUUAUGACCAAGGGUAACAGAAAAGUUAAG